rfam:Ictidomys tridecemlineatus contig024086, whole genome shotgun sequence.
GGGGCUGUAGCUCAGUGGCAGAGCGCUUGCCUAGCAUGUGUGAGGCACUGGGUUCGAUCCUCAGCACCA